ACGAGGGAUUAGGGUUUGAUUUCGGAGAGGAGGCCUGAGACACUGCCUCCACUUCCAAGGAAGGCAGCAGUAGCGAAAAUUACUCAAUGACACAUCGUCGAAGUAGUGACAAGAAUUAACAGAAUUGGGUCCUUUUAGGAACAGUACCUGUGAUGAGAACAAUUUAAAACCAUUAACAAGUAGCCAUGAGAGGGCAAGUCUGGUGCCAGCAGCCGCGGUAAUUCCAGCUCUUAGAGUGUAUAUGAAUGUUGUUGUAGUUAAAACGCUCAUAGCUUAUAAUAAUGGGUCGAGGCGUAAAUACCGACUGCACAUGUAGAAGGUACUGCGUCUGGGGCUCACAGAAAGUCCAGUGAUUUGCUGUCGGGCUGGGAAACUGGCUACGGGCUCGGGUGCCGCGAGGUGUUCGAUUCGCUGGAGAGGAUUAACUUUGAACAAAUUAGAGUGUUUAAAACAAGCGUUCCUGCUUUGAAUAUAUUAGCAUAGUAUUACAGAAUACGAUGGAUUCGUUUCGAAAGUUUUGUGGCGUGCCGUCAAAAGUGCGUCAUGGAGGGGUCAUUUAAUGAGAGAUAGAAAUUGAUGGAGCGAUCUUUAUUUACUGGGAAGGGGUGAAAUCCUAUGAUCCAGUGAAGAAACACUAAUGCGAAAGCACCUCGCUAAGAUGUUUUUAUUAGUCAAGAACGAAAGUUGAGGGCGCGAAGAUGAUUAGAUACCAUCGUAGUCUCAACCGUAAACAAUGUUGAUUUAGGAUGUGAAAUCAUUUUUUAUGACUUUUCACGAAUUAUACGAGAAAUCUAGAAUAUUCGAACUCUAGGGGUAGUAUAGUCGCAAGGCCGAAACUUAAAAGAAUUGACGGAAGAGCACCACCAGGCGUGGAACCUGCGGCUUAAUUUGACCCAACGCGGGAAAACUUACCAGGACAGGACAUUAAAAGGAUUGACAGAUUGAUAGCUUUUUCAUGAUAUAAUGAAAGGUGGUGCAUGGCCGUUUUUAGUUGGUGGUUUGAAUUGUCUGGUUAAUUCCGAUAACGUAACAAGACCUUUUCCUGCUAUUUAGCAUUGGUGGGUCCGAUAUUAGAGCGAUAACUUAUUGUUCGGCUUUGGAUUCCAAAGCUCUGCUUCUUAGAGGUACUCUUUUUGUUUGUGAACAAUUAAAAGGAAGAAAGACAAUAACAGGUCUGUGAUGCCCUUAGAUGCCCUGGGCUGCACGCGCGUUACAAUGAGAUUAUCACAUAGUGAUGACCAUACUAGAGAUGAUUCAGGAAAUCUCAGAAACAGUCUCGUGAUGGGGAUUGUGUUUUGCAAUUAUCGCACAUGAACGAGGAAUGCCUUGUAAGGGUGUAUCAUUAAUGCACCCUGAAUUAGUCCCUGCUCUUUGUACGCACCGCCCGUCGCUCCUACUGAUUGAAUUUUGUGAUAAGGACCUUGUACUGUGGACGUUUGUGUUUACUGCUGUCGAAGGCGGUGUAAGCAAGGCUAUUGUUUUUCGGAGCAGUAGCUUUAUAGAAAUUUGUUCGA
rnacentral:rRNA from 1 species